GGUCCUGCCUCUGGCGUCGCUGAGCUUAGAGCUGUCUCCUCCUUUUCUGAUUCCCCAGCACACCCGGGCUUGGCCGCUUGGGGCCCCUGGCAGCCCAGCUCUGUCAGGGGGCAACCAGAUAGGCGUCCAGAGAGACCUCACUGCUGGCCAUGGCCCACUGGUCCGUGCCAAGAGUAAAUAACCUUCCUGAUUUAGGAGACUGGACAGCAUCUUCUAGAAAGAAGCUCACAAGACCAGGGCGGGUGUGACUCGGCCGUGGUGUUCUUGACACUCCAGUGGCUCCAUGAACCAUGGGGCACAUGGACUGAAGAGACAGAAAACCACCUCUUAUUAGGUUUAGGAUUGUGCUAAUGGAAGUGACCUCAUCCACACCCAUGGGUUUAUCCCUUCAUGAAGAAUAA
rnacentral:lncRNA from 1 species